UGAAUAAUCUGGCAAACUAUAUGAAAAUAUAGGACGCAAAGCCACGGGUCUUCGCAUAGCAUGAUAGCCGGGUUACGAUU
rnacentral:ncRNA from 1 species